CACGUAGGGCGCAAGCGUUUGUCCGGAAUUAUUGGGCGUAAAGAGCUCGUAGGUGGUUUGUUACGUCUGCUGUGAAAACCUAGGGCUUAACCCUGGGCUUGCAGUGGAUACGGGCAGACGUAGAGGUAGGUAGGGGAGAAUGGAAUUCCUGGUGUAGCGGUGAAAUGCGCAGAUAUCAGGAGGAACACCGGUGGCGAAGGCGGUUCUCUGGGCCUUACCUGACACUGAGGAGCGAAAGCGUGGGGAGCGAACAGG
rnacentral:rRNA from 1 species